rnacentral:lncRNA from 1 species
CAGGUCAAUGAACACCAUGUGUAAGUCCCUCUUCCUUUCCCUAUAUUGCUCCACCAAUCUCCGCACCAAGUGAAUUGCCUCUGCCUCGAGCGACCGGGCAUAAAUCCAAACUAAUUCUCCGAAAAAUCCAGGGAUCGACUCUUAGCCCAUUUUUGUUUGCUUUGGUGAUGGAUGUGUUGACGCGGUAUAUUCAAGGAGAGGUGCCUUAGUGUAUGCUGUUUGCAGAUAAUGUAGUUUUAAUUGAUGAGACGUUGGGGUGUGAAUGAUAAAUUGGAGGUUUGGAGACAAACCCUUGAGUCUAAAGGGUUCAAAUUGAGUAGGACCAAGAUAAAGUAUAUGGAGUGCAAGUUUAGUGACUUGAGGCAGAAGGAUGAGGUGGUAGUGAAGUUGGAUUCCCAGGUUGUUUGUAAGAUAAGAGAGAUAGUUUUAGGUAUCUGGGUCUAUAAUUCGGGGGAAUGAAGAGAUUGACGAGGAUGUCUCUCACUGUAUGGGGCAAGAUGGAUGAAGUGGAGGCUCGCCUUGGGAGUGUUGUGUGAUAAGAAGGUGUCUCCUAAGCUUAAAGGUAAAUUCUACAGAGUGGCAGUCCGUCCGGCCAUGCUAUAUGGAGCGGAGUAUUGGCCAGUCAAGAAUUCCAACAUUCAAAAACUGAAGGUGGCGGAAAUAAGGAUGUUGCGUUGGAUGUGUGGACUUACUAGAUGAGACAAGGUUAGGAAUGAGGCCAUCCGGGAGAAGGUGGGAGUGGCUCCGGUGGAGGACAAGAUGCGAGAAGUGAGGCUAUGAUGGUUUGGGCAUGUGAUGAGGAGGGGCACGGAUGCCCCGGUUCGUAGGUGCAAGAGGCUAGCUUUGGACGGUUUCAGGCGGGGUAGGAGAAGGCCGAAGAAAUACUAGAGGGAGGUGAUUAGACGUGACAUGGAGCAGUUACAGCAAUAGCUUACUGAGGACAUGAACCUAGAUAAAAAGGUUUGGAGGACGCGAAUUAGGUUAGAAGGCUAGUGCGUGUGGGUGAGUCGUAGCAGAUUUGGUGUAGCCAGGCUAGUAGUCUUAGGGUUGUGUCCAUAGGUUGGAGCUGCUAGUUAGGAGAGUUUAGGUAUAGUGGGUGUUUUUGGUUUGUUGAUUUGUUGUGCGUGUCUUAUUUCUUAUUUCUGUUAUUUCAUCUUGUUUCAUAUUCUAUUACGACUUUGUUUACUGUCCUUUGUCUUGAGCCGGUGGUCUAUCGGAAACAGUCUUUCUACUUCUUCGGAGAUAGUGGUAUGGACUGCGUACACUUUACCCUCCCAAGAUCCCACUAUGUGGGAAUACACUGGGUUUUUUGUUGUUGUUGUUGUUGAAGGGUAUGAUAUUAGCUUUACUGAUGAUUCAGAAGCACCAAAAAAUCAAAAAACUUUGUCCAAAGAAGUAGUAUAACAAGGAAAGUACACGUCAUCCUAAAAUUAAGGAGAUUGGUCUGAUCCAGUUGGGUUUCACUGUGCUACGAAUAUGGCCAUCAAUAUGCUUGGUGUACAGCAGAAUAAGUAUUGUGUUCCACGGCAAAGCACAGAAAAAAAAAAUAAUAACCAUAACAAUAUAAAACGAACAAGAGAGCAGACUCAGAGAGAACACACAUAAUAUGGUUAGCACAAGGGGGCAAAUUUGGAGUUACAUGAAAGGAAUAUUAGUCCUUAAGAGUAUACACUUGUACAUGGAUAUCUUUAUCUAAAGAAGACCUCUUCAAGCUAAAUGGAGUAGAAACAUUCGCCUCUUUGCCAACCCCACAGAAAAAUAUGAAAGAGAAAGUCGAAAAAGUUGCCUACACCAUGACGUGUUACAAAGAAAAGGUAAUCAUCAUACCUCGUACUUAGUAAUUUCUUCUCGUGCUUCCUUUGAUGCAAACCUUUUAGCAAAAUCUCCAUCAUUCACUUGUUUACGUCUGGAAGAUUUGAU